rnacentral:rRNA from 1 species
UAUGGGAGGUAGCAGUGGGGAAUAUUGCACAAUGGGCGCAAGCCUGAUGCAGCCAUGCCGCGUGUAUGAAGAAGGCCUUCGGGUUGUAAAGUACUUUCAGUCGUGAGGAAGGUGUUAAGGUUAAUAACCUUAGCAAUUGACGUUAGCGACAGAAGAAGCACCGGCUAACUCCGUGCCAGCAGCCGCGGUAAUACGGAGGGUGCGAGCGUUAAUCGGAAUUACUGGGCGUAAAGGGCACGCAGGCGGUUAAUUAAGUUGGAUGUGAAAUCCCCGGGCUUAACCUGGGAAUGGCAUUCAAGACUGGUUAGCUAGAGUCUUGUAGAGGGGGUAGAAUUCCAUGUGUAGCGGUGAAAUGCGUAGAGAUGUGGAGGAAUACCGGUGGCGAAGGCGGCCCCUGGACAAAGACUGACGCUCAUGUGCGAAAGCGUGGGGAGCAAACAGGGAUUAGAUAC